rnacentral:lncRNA from 1 species
CAGUCUUAAAGAGAGCUUUUAAGAAUCAGUAUAAAAUCACCAUGUAAACAGCCAGAAAAACCUUAAGAGAAGAACACAACAUGGUAGGGGAAUGAAAUACUAGAAACAAAAAUUAAAGCAAAGAGCACGGAACUCAAAAAAGAACCCAGAGGAACAUGCAAACAAGCAGAAAAUACAGAUACAAAUAUAUAGAGCUAGGGUUUCAUCAGACUUAAACAAAAAUGUUUUGAGAGUCACAGCUUAGUAUUCAAAGUCAGAAAAAUAAAGUGUUUCCGAAAGGGGUUAAGAAACCCUAGUUUUAGAAGAGGAAUCAAACCGUUUAAAACUUGAAUAAUCAAAGAUAUCAAGUAAUAGGAAGUGUAGAAGACAAAAUUUAAACCAAAAGAAAAUCGCUUAAAAGAUAGAGACCAAAAAGAUUUAGGCAAAAAAUUAGUGUUUGCAAAAUAAAUUAGGGAAAUGAGAAACAUGGCCGUUAAACUCGUAUAUAAUGCCAUAGAAGGCAUCAUCGGACAAAAAACCAUCAGUGAAAAGCCGGAAACAGACCCAAGUGAAGCUUCAGUUUCCUUCUUUCAUGGAGGAAGCUGCUGGGCUUCAAGAUUUAGAGAGAAAACAAUGAUACAAGGAUUCCACAGCUACUAGAGGUCGAGAGAAGUGAGGGAGGAGUAGGGCCGGAGAGACGAUGGACUUCAUCGGAGAAGAAGGAACAAGAAGGUCCUAGAGAGAAGGGAGAGCAUCUAUUAGAGAGAUAGAG